rfam:Salmo salar isolate Sally breed double haploid chromosome ssa19, whole genome shotgun sequence.
UAUAACCGCAUUUGUAAGUCGCUCUGGAUAAGAGCGUCUGCUAAAUGACUUAAA